AGGUUAUAUAGCCCCUUUAACGCAAAAAAAGUUGCAUAACAUUUAAAAGUGCUUAACAGAAACGCUCCAUAACAACAAAAAGUAUGUUAAAAAAAAAGUAUAGGCCUAUACAUUAAACCAUAACAUAAAAUGAUUAAAAUCAUCAGCCAAAAAUCCUACAGAGCUCUCCCCAAAAAAUGACAUUACAGGUUCUGGGUAAUGAAUGACUGAAUAGAGAUAAGUAACAUUCAAACCAAGUCUCUUGCAGUCCGGAUGGGCUCCUCGGGUGGGCUUGGCUGGUAGCAGACCUGGCUGAGGCUCAGCCUGGGCAGAGACAGGUGCUCCAGUCUGGGGGACUUGGACUGUGCUCUGGAGGUCUCAGAGAUCCCCUUCUCCAAGACCUGGUGGACAAGGGUCCACCAGCCCCUCAAUGCUUUAUGCAUUGAGGGCCAUCAAUGCAAAACAGUUUGUUUGGAGAAUAAAAUAUGGGGUGGAAAGGAGAAAAUUAAAUUGUCACCCUAAAAACAAAUAUUUGAAACCUUUAAAAAACUUUCAACUGAGAUAUAAUUAAGUGCUCCCUUUCUUCACUCACUCCUUACUUUGUCCAAUAACUAGUUGAUUGUAAUCUAACUGUGAUCUAAUUUACAGGUGGUUUUAUGUAACCCUAUCUGUCUACUAGGGUCCAAACCUGUGUACUUGGGCCCUUACCUGUGCUCUAUGGCCACUACUUGUGUUAGAGAGCCCUGCCUGUGUUAUAGGGGCCUACCUGUGUCCUAGGGCCCCUGCCAGUCUGCUAGGGCCCCUACUUGUGUUCUACGGCAUGUAUUUCAGUGCCCCUACCUGUGGUCUAGGUGCUUACCUGUGCGUUCGGGGCCCCCACCUGCCUCUUGUUCUGGAAGUGAGGGUGGGUGGUCUUGGGCCUGGAGAGUUCCAGGAGAUGAUGGGAGAGUUUGGGUUUUUUGAUCCGGAGGUCCACGUGCCACACGAGACAGGUGGGCUCACAUUCCGGGGCAGGUACGCGGCUCCCUAUACGCAGAUUACGCAGAGUGCGUAGGGCACCAAGUACCUGAGGGGGGCACCAAAAAUUUAGUUUUGUAAAAAAUAAUAAUAAUACAAAAAAAAAAAGUAAAUUAGUUAUGAAGAUGCCCACCGUUGUUUGUUCUUAAUUGUAUAACCUAUCACUAGGUGUUAGGUUAUACUAAUAUAGAAAACAUUUAAAGCGUCUCUGGAUUCUGAUCCAGGGCUUGACACGGUGCCUAUAUGUUUUUACCUAUUAUAGAAAAAGGGGCUCUCCUCUCCUCUUCCCCCACAAUUUUAUUUAUACCUUAAACCAAUUGGACAGACGUAUUAUUCUAUUUUUUGCAGCACAACAAGCAGUACGAUUCUCGUCUCUGUGGGAUUUUAGUGUAAAAUAAACAUGUUUGUUCUAAUUGUAUAAGCAUUUAUCAGUAGCUGAAAUACUGUUGCCAUCAAAACGUCAAUUUUGCAGUUUUCAGAUUUGUAUUUCAGGUAUGGGUACAUAAGUGAUGUCCAGACAUCUCCACAUGCUGUUCGGCAGGCACGGUUGCAUUUGGCUACUGCCCUGCUUCAGGAUAAAGGGCGUCCUCUACAUUGGCAGAACUCCGGCAGAAAGGCUGGAGGAAGUCAGGUGACGAAGAACACAGAGCGACAAAGCAAAUAGGGAUUCAUCGUUGUCGAUGAAUGGAUCAAAGACGACGAGCACCCAGGUGACCGGGGUGACUUGUUCUUUUCUGUUGGGGGGGGGGGAUUAAGAUGCUUCGAGUGUGUCUCUGGAGACUACCUCUCCUGCUUUAAACCCGUUGAAUGUCCCUCAUCCAUGGAUCGCUGUUUCACCACUGGCCUUGGGGAUACCUUGAUCAAGGGAUGUCAAUUCAGUCCUCUGUGUCUCCUGCCAGGGAGCGGUUGCUGCAAAGGCGAUUUGUGUAACUUUGCAAAUUCCAGCAAUAGCAUUGGAUCAAGCUUCAUCCUUCUGCUGUUGUCUACCGCUGCACUGUAUUUCCUCUGAUCAGUGGGUCUGCAUGCACUCUAGAAACCUGGGGCCAGAUUCACUAAUGAAUCUCCAGAUAAUGACAUUCUGUUCAUUAUCUGGAGACUAUGUUUGCAUCUAGAUUACAUUUAGG
ensembl:lncRNA